AAUCAAACAAUUUAAUGACAUAUUAAAUGAAAAUUUGAAUUUAGAAAAAAGAAAAACAAUAAUGAUAAUUUAAGUAUUCUAAAUAAAACUGAAAUUUUAAUGUCAAACAAAACUUUUGCACAUUUUAAAUUACUCUCAUAAUUGCAAUUUCUAAAAAAAUGGUAGGUUUUUUUUUAUCAAAGUCUCUUUAAAGUCUCUUCUCAUAAGGCUUUAUAAAGCCACACCAUGUUUCUAUCUUUUCACAAAUUAGUUCUCUGCGCCUUAAAACUUUCUCUCACGGCAAAUGUUCGUGUCUAGCCCCUAAUGAAUUCCCCUGUUAGUGCUGGUCCAUCUACAGCAACGUUUGGAGAUCAAGAAUACAUUAAUGCAAUCAAAGAAAUCACGUAUGGAAUAUCACUUGGAAACUGUUGGCUAACGACAUUCAACAUGAAUAUCGCGGAACUCUUACGCAACCAGAGUCAUCAGGGUGUGGAAUACAAUAGCGGAAGGGGAAGGAAAUCCACCAUCAACCUAUAAUCUGUUAUUGAUGGAUCACAAGGAUCAAACAACACAUGCAGAAUGUUGGCUAAGCAGUUCAGAAUGUCAUGCAAAAAGAAUCAAUGAAGGAUUAGUAUACAGCUUUGAAUAUUUUUUCGUAUAGCAUAACUUCCAAGCUUUAAGUUCAUCAAGACACCAAUAUAAGAUACACUUGCUGAAUAGAACAAUGAUAUUUAAAUAUGAUGAAAGUAUGGUUCCUUUGCGUGAGCUGAAAUUUGACAACGUGCAUGGUGUUCUUAACGAUGACUUCGAUGAGAGAUACUUGGUUGGUAAGUAAAUCAAUUGAUUCAAAUGAAUUCACGUAGGUUAUCACUUUCAAGCAUUUACAUUAACAUGAAAAUAGAUGUCAUGGGGGAAAUUACGCACGUCGGAAACUAUCAAGGAUAUGAGUGGAACGGAGUGGCGACUGAUAUUAGAGACAUUGAAAUCGAAUCUCAAGGGUAAGUUAUUAGCUUUUAUCAUAAAAACCGAGAAAAAAAAGAAUAUUACCUACCGAUAAAAAAAAUUAAGCGCGAUUAAAUUAUUAUUUUUGCAUGAAAAAAUUUAAAUGUUUGUUAUACGACGAAUUUGUCAACAAUUUAGAUAAAGUUCUAAGUGGAGAAGAUAACAAACAUGUUGUUGUUAUCAUAUUACUGGGAGCAGUAACAAGGCAUCAAGGUACAUUUUAUAACUUUGAUCUAAUUUCUAAAAUAAUCUUCUCUAUAAAACAGUAACAGGUUUAAUAUGUAAAUAACAUCUGACUAAUAAAAAAUUUGCAGGGGAAUAUUUGUUAACUACUGGGUUAAAAUGCACAAAAGUCAUGUUCAAUCCUAACAUUCAUGAAGCGGAGUGCUACAGAGAGGUUAUUUGAGUGUGACACAGUCCCUACUCAAGUUAUGAAUGUCCUGCUUGAAAGCUUCAAAGUUAUUGAAGAAGAUGAGUUUCUAAAACUAUUUCCACGCACAAACAUUGGAAAUUUGGUUACGUGCAGAUCG